rnacentral:rRNA from 1 species
CAAGGCGGUGGAGCAUGUGGUUUAAUUCGAAGCAACGCGAAGUAACCUUACCAGGUCUUGACAUCCGAUGCUUAUUUCUAGAGAUAGAAAGUUACUUCGGUACAUCGGUGACAGGUGGUGCAUGGUUGUCGUCAGCUCGUGUCGUGAGAUGUUGGGUUAAGUCCCGCAACGAGCGCAACCCCUAUUGUUAGUUGCCAUCAUUCAGUUGGGCACUCUAGCGAGACUGCCGGUAAUAAACCGGAGGAAGGUGGGAUGACGUCAAAUCAUCAUGCCCCUUAUGACCUGGGCUACACACGUGCUACAAUGGUUGGUACAACGAGUUGCGAGUCGGUGACGGCGAGCUAAUCUCUUAAAGCCAAUCUCAGUUCGGAUUGUAGGCUGCAACUCGCCUACAUGAAGUCGGAAUCGCUAGUAAUCGCGGAUCAGCACGCCGCGGUGAAUACGUUCCCGGGCCUU